rnacentral:rRNA from 1 species
UACGGAGGGUGCAAGCAUUGAUCGGAAUUACUGGGCGUAAAGGGCGCGUAGGCGGCUUUAAAAGUCGGAUGUGAAAUUCCGGGGCUCAACCCCGGAGCUGCAUUUGAAACUCUAGAGCUAGAGUAUAGUUAGGGUAAACGGAAUUCCACGUGUAGCGGUGAAAUGCGUAGAUAUGUGGAAGAACACCGGUGGUGAAGACGGUUUACUGGGCUAAAACUGACGCUGAGGCGCGAAAGCAUGGGGAGCAAACAGG